GAAUUCUUUUAGUUAAAGUUCAACUAUAGCUGAUUUAAAUGUGUCCAGAGAGUCCGUUGCGUGUUCCGUUCCAUUCGGCAAUUCUAUUUACAAAAGACAUUUAAUUAUCGGUAUUGUUUAGUUCAAGCUUUAAACUUGAAAAGCUUUUCAAAGUAACCUCUUUUGGUAUUCAAAGCUGUUUACAAUUGAAAUCAGUUUUGUAUCUGUCGCUAUUAAUUAAAACCUUGGUGCUCGGUCUACUUAAUAAAAUAUGUGAACGUUCUGUUGAUUUAUGAAGCCUUUGAAUGUGACGGUGUACAAGGCUAUUCAGCCCGAUUCUUCCACAAAACCACUUAACUUUAAUAAAUGCAAUAACAUUAAUACCUGACAGAUAUCUGUAACCUUCUUUGCGUCUGGAAAUAUGUAGAUAUCACUUCACGAUCAACCGCCGUUGUUUGACGUUUACGUGCAUUUCUUACUACACAGUGUGACUUGAAGUUGAUGAAAAUAACCGUACACAAAUUUGCGGCCGUAGGUAGCUCUACCUUCAGCCAGUUCAGUAGUUCUUCGAUUUCACUGCGUUGAGACUGUGCGAAUAAGGUGCCUUUUGGCUCUCAGCACAGUUUUGUCAACAACUUCCUUGUGGUUGUUUUGCCUGCUGCUCUUUAAACAUGUCAUUCAUACAUAUUCCACUGCUGAAGCCCAAGACCUGGUUAAGCAUAGCAUAUCAAGGCACAUUCCAGCCUAUUUUUGGAGAUGUGAUGUUUUCCAAAAUCUGAGGAAAAUUGCAUAUUGUUCCUGUUGUCAUACUUGAGAACAAAUGAUGUUUUGUAUCAGUAACUGCUGACACUGCCAGAAUAAAGCUGAGAUGGAAAUUUUGUAAAUCAACAAAAUAUAAUAAUUCUUUAUUCUUCCAAUGGCAAAACUUUAAGCAGGUACAUUGCAGUUUGAAGUAAAUGCCUAAAGUAAGCCAACUUGUGAAAUAUUGGAAUUAUUCUUUGCUGCUCUAAAUGUGACUGCCUCUCACUGAUGGCAUGUCCAUCUGCAUGCACUAUUGUACUGAUGAGGAUGUAAAAUGUAGUGCUGCAUAGGUCUCACAAAAUGCCUGCAUAUCAUCAAAUCUGUAUAGAGAUUGACCCCCACUCUCAUAGUGCCAGUAAAAGGCUAACUGAAAUUUUUCUACCGGCUCUGCAAAAUUAUGUAAUAAUGUAUUAAACCAGACUCUGAGUUAUGUAGAAAUAUUUUCAACAAUAAACAUGUGUUUACUUGUAAAAUAUGAGCACAGAGCAGAACCUUUA